rnacentral:rRNA from 1 species
UGAGCAACCUGCCCUUGACUCCGGAAUAACAGCUAGAAACAGCUGCUAAUACCGGAUACGACCUCCGAUGGCAUCAUCGGAGGUGGAAAGCUCCGGCGGUCAAGGAUGGGCUCGCGGCCUAUCAGCUUGUUGGUGAGGUAACGGCUCACCAAGGCUUCGACGGGUAGCCGGCCUGGAGAGGGCGACCGGCCACACUGGGACUGAGAUACGGCCCAGACCUCCGUACGGGAGCAG